rfam:Ovis aries breed Texel chromosome 16, whole genome shotgun sequence.
UCCCUGAUGGCUCAGAUGGUAAAGCAUCUGCCUGCAAUGUGGGAGACCUGGGUUCAAUCCCUGGGUUGGGAA